ensembl:ncRNA C35D10.18 ncRNA
GAAACAAAAAGUGCAGCGGAGCGUGUUUGCAUUACUUUCAAAACGACGCAAAUAAUGAUUCAUUUUCGGAUUAUCGACUCCAAUUUUACGAUUUUC